GUAGGGUGGCAAGCGUUGUCCGGAAUUAUGGGCGUAAAGCGCGCGCAGGCGGUCCUUUAAAGUCUGAUGUGAAAGCCCACGGCUCAACCGUGGAGGGUCAUUGGAAACUGGGGGACUUGAGUACAGAAGAGGAAAGCGGAAUUCCAAGUGUAGCGGUGAAAUGCGUAGAGAUUUGGAGGAACACCAGUGGCGAAGGCGGCUUUCUGGUCUGUAACUGACGCUGAGGCGCGAAAGCGUGGGGAGCAAACAGGAUUAGAUACCCUGGUAGUCCACGCCGUAAACGAUGAGUGCUAAGUGUUACGGGGGUUUCCGCCCCUUAGUGCUGCAGCUAACGCAUUAAGCACUCCGCCUGGGGAGUACGGCCGCAAGGACUA
rnacentral:rRNA from 1 species